GACGAACGCUGGCGGCGUGCUUAACACAUGCAAGUCGAACGAAGUGGCGAAAGGGUGAGUAACGCGUAAUCAACCUGCCCUUCAGAGGGGGACAACAGUUGGAACCGACUGCUAAUACCUCCUACUGAAGGAGGGGAUUGCGUCUGAUUCGCUAGUUGGAGGUGUAACGGCCAACCAAGGCGAUGAUCAGUAGCCGGUCUGAGAGGAUGAAAGGGCACAUAGGGACGGAUACAAGGCCCAGACUCCUACGGGAGGCAGCCGUGGGGAAUCUUCCGAAAUGGACGAAAGUCUGACGGAGCAACGCCGCGUGAGUGAUGACGGCCUUCGGGUUGUAAAGCUCUGUUAAUCGGGACGCAGUACCGGAAUAGAAAGCCACGGCUAACUACGUGCCAGCAGCCGCGGUAAUUC
rnacentral:rRNA from 1 species